rnacentral:lncRNA from 1 species
GAAGGAUGGCGUCUGUUUCCAGGGCCGUGUGGAGCCUGCAGAGGCCGGUCUCGAACGGCACGAUGACCAGGGAGGCGCCCUCCGGCCGCCGAUCGGUCGCGGCGCCGAGGUCCCGGCGCGCCAAAGCCGUCGUGGUUCGCUCCGAGUCCGGCUCGGGACGCGGCGAGCAUUGCGCCCCUGCCAGGGCCGUCGCCGACGUCGCGCCGAUUCAGGCGACGAAGAAGGUAACUGCGUGCAACUCUUACAAACUGAAUUGUUGGAAGCAGCCAAUUGGCGAAUUCACUUGGUUCGGCAGGAAGUUGCUUUUAGGCGCGUACAUCAGCACACACACCAGUACACCAGCACACGUAAAGUGAUAAAGGUUCGAUGCUUUUCAUAAAAGAUAAAAGAUAAAAGUUUUUUUUAUAAUGAACAAGAAAAAAGGUUUGAUUUUGAUGGUUCCAUUUGACUUGGACCAGUUUGGGAACAGUUCCGUUACAGCACCUUUGGUUCAACUUGUGUCUGCUUUUAUUCAAAAAAAAAAAGAACGGCGGCCCAAAACUUUUUCGACCAGUUUAGGAACAGUUCCGUUAGAGCACCUUUGGUUCAACUUUGUGUCCAUCAGAACGGCAGGCCAAAACUUUUCCAAAAAGAACUUCCGACCAUAAAGAAGCGUUGUAGGCUCACAGCCACAGCACUGUGAACAUAUAGCAGACUACAAACCGUUAAGUGCAAGUUUUUAACUGGCCUACGAGGGGCUCAUUCCCCCUUCUUCCUCCCAUCCUCUCUUUCUCUUCUUCCUCCUCCUCCUUUUUUCUCUUCUUCCUCUUACAUCCAUGGUUAAAAUUUUCAUGGGCUGCGCGGGGUAGGGGCUCUAGGCUUGGGCAUUUCUCAGGCUGGGUCGGGCUUUAGCCGGGCUAAAAAAAGUCCAGUUCAUUUCGGAUUGAAAAUUCGUACCCACAAUUAUCCCAUAGGCGUUCUCGAGCUAAUUUUUCGAACCAGGCCACUCAAUUUCCGUUCUUUAUAGUUGAAAAAUAAAUCAAAUAAAUUGUCUAGGUGGGUUUUGGCCGGCCUGAAUUUUUUUAGGCUUGGUUUUAGCUGACCACGCUCAGUCCCAUAGGAAGCAUGGGCGGGCCAAAUCCUAGCAGGCUCGGGCCGAGCCCACAGGCCGGGCCAAGCCAAAAAUCUCAGGCAACCCCGCCCCUAGGCAUAAUAUUAAGUUUUCCUCCUGUUUCUAUGAGUUUUUAAAUAUCGCUCAAAGGUGAUUGAAGUCUAGUGUUUGAAUUACUAGUUAUCGUUCGCCAACAAAGAAUUGUAGUUGAACGAAUCUGACCAGUGGGUACGGUUGAUCUAGAAUAAGGAUACUAUCAUGGGCCUUCUCUUAUCGUCUCCAUCUUCUUUGACAAGGCCCAGCACCACUCCAAAGUCCAAACAGUCCGCGCGUUGCCUUUGUUCAGCGCAAACGCAGCGCAGAAUCACGGCGCCCGCAUUACUACUCGCCCUCGUGAGCCAAGCAUGGUUCAGCAUUAUUGUUAAGAUCAAAGAUGAUACUAAGCAAUAUAUUAUUGUUUUAAGCAUAUUGAUAGUAUCCAAAUGAUAUCUGACCAUUACACACAACACACUACAAAAAUCACUAACAUGUGUAAGUGAAGACUAUAGAUGUUUGGAGACUUCAAAAUUUACUCUAUAAGAACUAGGUUUGACAUAUUGAUCGAAUGCCAAGUUACUUUGGGCAAAUCAUAAUCAUAAUGAUACCACAAUGUUAAUAAUAUAUUAAUACUUAAUGAUCAUGGAGCCAAUAAAAAACUCACGAGCUGGUCUUUUAAGAAAACUAGGUAAAAAUGAGGCUCCACUCGGUUUGUUUUAAAGGUUGAGCCGAACCAAAUCAAGCCAAGCUAUGAACAAGUCGAGCCAACUCGCAAAGCUUGAGCACUUUGCUAGCAUUAAUCAUAACCCUAUGAACACCUAUAGGAAAUUGGGUUAGUAGAUUUUUAAAAUUGACAAAGUCGCCAUAUGUAUCUUGAUAUUGAUGACAACAUCGCCUAAUGAAAAGUAGCCAUAUUAAUGUGCCAAACCUGAUUGUAUCUCUUGUGGACACGGGAUAUAACCAACUCCGAUGACCAGCCAAGUUAUUUUGCUAUCGAGCGAAUUUCAUAAACAAAUUUAAAAGUACUUUUUUGUUUAAGUCAUCAGAAAUUCACACCAUAUAUCGCAAAAUGUCAAAACCACAUUUUUAAAUAUAAAUAUGGAAUAGAAGUUGUAGUUAUAAUUCCUUCUAUUCCGACGCUCUCCUUGCCACUGAAUCUGCCCUUUUCCGGCAUAUCAACUACUAUCUACAUGUAAGCAAACAAAAAAAGGCAUAGGCACAUGAGAGUGACGAGUAUGCCUGCUGGAAGUGAAGGCAAAUGCUUUAAAAGUGUGGUUUCGUGAUAUGAUGAAAAGAUAUGCAAGUAAAAGUGUGACUGCCUUAAAACUGUUGCUUAGAAGUGCGAUGCUGUGAUGGAGCUGUGACAAAAAGUAGCUAGUUCUUGUAAGAUUUUCUCUUGAUCGUUUCCUCCCAUUAACAUUUGUUUCUGAACUCUAAGCAUGCUUUUAUUAUAAUUUAUAACCUAUCCGUGGCAUUCAACUCAACUAUAGCAAGAACCACGAAUGGAAAAAUAAAAAACAUAGUAAUGUUUUUUUAGAAAAACAUAGUAAUGUUUUUUUAGAAAAACAUCUGUGAUAUUGGCGUGGUGAUCUAGUCACUGUAGUUCAAUAGCAGCUAGGUUCAUAGGUCUAAAUACUGCUGAAUCAUUUCAUUAUUUGGAAUCUUUGGAGCAAGACAAACUGCCGCAUGACUACCAAUAUAGAGUGACGCCGCCUAUUUUGUAGCGAUUCUGUUUACCUUAGAUAAGGAUAAUAUAAACUGCUGCACACUGGAUCGCUCGUCAAGCCCAUGGUUUCGCCAAAACCAGAGAAAACAUAUAGCACUUGAGCUCUGCCCAUGCAAGGGAUUUUUUUUCCCAUGGUUUGGUACGUGCAUCAGGAAUGUGAACGGAAUUGGGCAUGGAAUCCACACGAGCCAGAAUGCCAGAUGCAUCUUGGCAAGCCUAGCAAUUAUUUGAGUACAGCAUGCCGGUAGAUAGGCUGCUCGACCGUGCAUCCUGCAAGUGGCCAAGGUUUUGCUGCAUGGGCGCCACCACGUAGGGACAUGUUAUACGUCGCAUUUUUUGGUUGGAGCUAAUCAAUCAACUUUUCAGUAAAAAUAAUACCUCCAUGCUCAUUCAUAGAGAUUCCUAGAUGGUCUUAACUUGCACUAGGUGUUGCCUGCAGCAGAGCUCAUUCGGCUAUUGUCUUGUCACUACCAAACCCUUAGACCAACAGAGUGUUAACUGCAAUCCACGCUCCUGUUUGUGGAUUUGCAUUCUGACGCAUCAUGUGUUCAUUGUUUGGUGCCCAAAGAAAUCACUUGCAUAGAAAACAAGGCCUCUCCACUUCCCCACAAAUUCUACCGAGAAUAAUCAGGGGCAAAUUCUGGCAUAAGGCAGACACCAGACAAAGAUGCUGAAAGGUACUCGUGCAAGUUUUCUGCAGUUGUUUUGUCUGAAAUUUGUCCAAUGUUUGCCUCCCAGGGCUUGCAUCUUUCGACUUCAAUAGUGUGUUUGGGUUUGGGAUGAGGUCAUGAGGCCCCAAAAAAUCUCAUUGAUUUAGACAGAUGUUAAAAGUUGUAUACAAGUGGUACAUCGUACAUGAUAAUUUCGCUAAAGCAAGGGUAGUAGGUGACAAUUCCGCUGUUCGGACCCAUCUCAUUUUUUAGGUGAAAUAGUAGGGGAGACGUACCUGAAAAUUAUUCCUCCAUAAUUUCACUUUGAAUGAUAUGUGAUAGAGGGGCAUUAAUAUAAUAAUUUAAACAAAUCUAGUGAUGCCUGGGGAUUUUUUUUCCAGGAAGAAUAGAGACUUCAACUGCAAAAAAGUUGUAGAAACAAACACAUUUAGCCCUCAACUCAGCAGGUCUGACAAAUUCUUGUGGUUAUAAGAUCUUAGAGAAAAAGAAGAGAUAAAUUUGAAACCUAUCUCAGAGUGUCAUGAACCAUAAACAACUCCCAUCUGAUGCCGUCUGCAACGUACUUUGAACUGAAGAGCUAAGAAAGAGUAAUUAGCCAUAGACACAACUCUAGUCAAGAUAGAGUUUGGGCUAAAACAACUUCAUCUUAGAAAUCGUUAUGAUGCAGACUAUUUCAGUUUGGGCUGCAUUAUUGAAGUGUACAAUAAUAAUAGGUAAAAUUAAAAUAAACAAGUUUCAUGAAUUAUUUGAACAACUCAUUGGAUGUUCUUGUUGCAGUCAUCUGGUGUGGCAUAGCAUAAUUCAUUCUCGGAAACGAUUCAUUUGAUCAAAUGCAUGAAUCCGAGAGUUAAGUAAUUUCUGUUGCAUAGGAUAGUUUUGCAUUGAGGAAAGCUGAGACAACCAACUGUUCGUUGGAUGUAUACUUGUUGCAUUGCAGCCAUCCGGUGUUGCAGUGCAAAUCCACAAGGCUAAGAUAGCUGACAAUUUAUUUUUUCAAACAUUUAAUUCUUCUUUUUUCCCAACCUGGAAGUUCAUUUUGAGUUGCCCAUUUGAUUGAAACAUGGAACACGUUUUGCAUAGAUUUAUUUUUCGUAGGUAAAGGUUUUGCAGCGAAGAUCUAGUUUCCGUGAUUUUCAACGGACGCACUCCGUUUUUCCUUGUGGAUACGUAAGAACAACGACGGUCCACUUGAGUCACCGAUAGAAAGCUCCGAACGGUGUACCGCUCUCCUUUGCCGACGCCGUCCGUCAGCUCACGAAAACGUGACGGACUGACGGGCAUGGGCAUGAAUUGCCCCAUUUAACGAAACUUAACCCUGUUCACACAAUCACAUAGGAUGAAUUCGGAUAAAAUUUUAAGGACUGGCCCCAGAAAUUUUAGUUUCUCUCUUCCCAUCUACACAUGGAUGUGAGCAGCGUGGUUCACCAGGCUCGCACAACGGACGAAGCCACGGCAGAGCGGCUCGCGCGCAGCCGUGCACGGCGCGGCAAAACAGCCAUCGGCGCCUCUUUCUUCUGCAUCGCCGGGGCACAUGCGCGCGCGCCCUGCCGGGGGCGGGGAACGGGAUACCAGGCGGGGACGGCCGCGCGCCCGCGGGUUUGCGGCAGCGUUGCCCCUGCCCGGAUGGUUGUUGUCGCGGCGUGGUGGCCGCGCACGGAACCGCGGUCGCGUGUCAAGCCAAUGUCCCCGGCCGCUGCGCCACACCGAUCCAAGACUUGGAUGGACAAAAAAAAUCACAGGAGCACUCACUGGCUGUCGUACAAAAUUCAUCAACACUUUUGGAUUUCGAACUUUGAAUUUGUUUAGGCUAGACGAACGCAGAUUGGGCCGAAUCUUUUCGGAACGAAAAGAAGAAGAAGAUGAAGAAGAAACAAACAACCAGUGAGAUUGACAGCGGGGUCCGAGUCCAACUCCGAGCUGGAUGACGUGAACGAUCAGACUGCGCGUUACGCUCGGCAAGAAAAGAAAGACAAAGACGGCCGCCAUAUCCAUGGAUCCCUGCCGAGACCGUGGACGGGCGGGCGUGUAGCUGAGCUGCGCAACGGAUAGCGUUGUCCGUCGUGGCAGGAUGGGUGGUGCUCGUUCCGUUCCGUCCGCGUUGGACGCCGGGGUUUCGCAGUCGCAGCCAUGCACGAUAUAUGGCCUGCCGGCGCACGUGUGCUUUAUUGACACUCCACCCUGAUCCGGCCUUAUCUAAUUCUUAUUACUGUGCUAGCCAAAUCCAAGAACCACCCGAGAAAUUCAGACUGCAACACAGUUAAAAAAAAAAGGAUGAAACAGCUUGGGCAAAGUGCUUUUGGUUGCGGCAUCUCCCGGUGCAUCACCGAAAACAAAUUUGGGUAGCGGAGAGGUGUACAAUUUUGGUUGGAGCAUUAUAUUGCUCCCCAACAAGAUAAAGCACUUCAUGAAACGGAAAGGGCGCCCCCACCGUGUCUUGCACGUAGCGCGUCACGUAUGCCGGCGGCACGUGCGGGAGCGAUUCAGUUCCAGAGCUUUUCUGGGAAUGGAACAAGGGUGACGGGGUUGUUCUGGGUCUCUUUGAUUGUGUCGCACUCAUUUUACUAAGGUCAGUUGGGAGUUUUAUGACACUAAAUUCAAUAUAAACAUCAGCAAAAUUGCUAGCUUAGCAAGAUAAUUAAUAGAGGGAGUUUUAUAAGAUGAGAGAGGAGUUUCAUCCCCAUAACACUUAUCUGGCACAGUUAGCUAGUUCUUAGUAUAGGUAACUGCGUACUGAGAAUGGCCUUAAGUAAUUCAGUUUUGAAACUUCAGUUCAUAUGUUCGUAUCAAGCAGUUCUAUUGAUGUGGCUAUAUAAAGUGUUAAAUCUUUCAAGGGAUCUCACUUAAAUAUACACUAUUAAAUACCGCAGAACUUCCGACAAAAAGCAGCUCGCACUCGGUUUUGGGAAAAGAUAAAAAAAAAAGACAGCCUGCGCAGCGGUGUUUCCGAAAACAAAAAACAAAAAUGCGAGAAGCGCACAAAAAGAAACAGAUUGUUGGUUGGAGCAUCAUCGCUCACAACAAAUCUACCGUAACACUUGCGCAAGCGAUGGACACCAGCUGGCUAAGCUUUUUGUGUCGAUAUGGAACAGAAAGGGGCACUGUAGUGUUGGUACCUUGCACGUAUGCGUCCGUUACAUGUUCGACGAACGUGAGUCACCCGUCGUCGUAGAUGAGACCACGCCAAUUCAGUUCGAUGAGAGCCUUUUUUUAAUUCUUCUGUGGAGAAGACAACAGCAACCGUGACGUGUUGGAUUGUUGUACGCGCCGCGCCAUUAGCUUUUUCACUAGCCUGAGACCACUUCCAACUUUGCAAACUUGCUCGUAUUACGUGUAAAUCUCAUCCGAGCUGGGAUUAUGCCCAAGUGCCCAACCAAUUUUGUGCACGCACGUUUCACUUUUAAUGUUUGCGGUGGGCUGCUGACCCUGGGUUUGUGGCCUGUGAAGAAAAAGCGUUAACUAGAUGCUUGCAAGCUUCUUCAUCACACACUGUUCGUUGCGCUCGUCGCCCUGUCACCAACCGGUCCCUUCAGGUCGAUCACACCACCGGUUCGCCACGUCAGUGUCUCGCUUCACUCGCUAUAAAUAGAGCCCGGCGCCGGCUCUGCUUCAUCACCAAUUGUGAUCUCUGCUAGCUACCGUACCUCCAGUGUGUGCUCGUGCUAACAGCAGCAAUGGCGCCCGCUCAAUGUGUGGCCUCGCAGAGGGUGUUCCACUUCGGCAAGGGCAAGAGCGAGGGCAACAAGACGAUGAAGGAGCUGCUGGGCGGCAAGGGCGCGAACCUGGCGGAGAUGUCGAGCAUCGGGCUGUCGGUGCCGCCGGGGUUCACGGUGUCGACGGAGGCCUGCCAGCAGUACCAGGAGGCGGGGCGCUCCCUGCCGCAGGGCCUCUGGGACGAGAUCAUCGACGGCCUGGCGUGGGUGGAGGAGGAAAUGGGCGCCCGCCUCGGCGACCCGCAGCGCCCGCUCCUGCUCUCCGUCCGCUCCGGCGCCGCGGUAAUGCCAUGGCCAUGCCAUCCUUGUUCGUUUGGUUCAUUCGCCUGCUCGCUUCUGAUCGCUUUGCCUUUGUGUUAUGUGAUAUGCGCAGGUGUCGAUGCCCGGGAUGAUGGACACGGUGCUCAACCUGGGACUCAACGACGAGGUGGCCGCCGGGCUCGGCGCCAAGAGCGGCGAGCGCUUCGCCAACGACUCCUACCGCCGCUUCCUCGACAUGUUCGGCAACGUCGUGAGUAUCUCCUGCCCAUCUGUCCUAAUGACUCAUCAGCGCCUCGUCGGAUCGGAGACGAUCUCGCAUGUUAAGCUAGCUUGGUUGUUGAUCACUCUACUCGCUUACUUGUAUGACUAGCUAGCUUGGUAGGUAGCUUAGCUAGGCGGCCUAUGCCUAGUUGUGCGUGCAUCGACCCAUGAUCGCUUCCGCGGGUGACCCGCGUCCGUCCGAGACGACGGCGGCUGCGUCGCACGCUUGCGGCCGCCGCCGGGGGCCACCAGCGUCGGGGGUUUCGUCUGUUUUGCCAGGCAGGACGCAGGACGGUGGGAGAGUACUUGCAGCACAGUGCUGUGUUUUCUUGGGUUAACCGAACGUGUGGGGAUCAUUCGGCACGGUUAAGCCAGUGAACGUGCUCGAUGCCCCGGCGUUGGAGUUAACCAGUGAAGUGAUUGGGCCAAGCACCUUUGCUUUUUGCUGCCAAUAAUAGGCAAGGUCCAAAUCAGAGAAGCUUUUCUACCUUUUUUAUUUCUUCUUAAAAAGUAAAAAAAAUUUGCGGACCUAAAAAGAAUAAAAAAUAUUUUCCAACGCAAAUGGAGGAAGGAAGUUGACGGUUCAAGAAAGGAACACGGCGACGGCAUCGUUGUAUCAGGUAAGAGGAAUUCGCAGGUGUGUGCAUAUUCCCCUGCAGAAAUUUAACAUGGACGGAGCAGUAUAUACAAGGUCAUUGUCAGUGUUCAAGCUCAUGCUAGACAGCCCUGUACGGUAUGUCGGUUGUCGGAGGUACGCCUCGUUUGUGGGGCUGAAGGACCGAUGACGGCGGCGCCUGUCUUCACCAGCAGAGUUUGACACUCUUUCCACCCGGAAAAUGGGUACAAGACGAUGAGGAAAAGAAAGUUUCUUGAAACGCCAUAGAAAAAUAUUUUUUAAAAACAAUGAGCAUUUAAUAUGGUCAGUUGGGGGCUGAGGGGAGAAGGUUGGUUGGUUCAACCUGCACACACAAGUGAUGACAUCUGCUAUGGAGAUGCUCAACCAGAGUUGGUUUUGGUCAUCUGUAAUUAGUUUUUUCAAUGACACUUCUAACUAGAAUGCUCAAACAGAGUUUUGUUUGUACUAUAAGAUAAUUGUUCCUCAGCAGAGCCUUUCUUUACCACCAGGUCAUGGACAUUCCCCACGCACUGUUCGAGGAGAAGCUUGAAGCCAUGAAGGAAGCCAAGGGGGUGAAGAACGACAAUGACCUGACUGCCUCUGACCUCAAAGAGCUGGUGGCUCAGUACAAGGAGGUCUACGUCGAAGCCAAGGGGGAGCCAUUUCCCUCAGGUAUGCCCACCGCAGCCUCACCCUCAGUUGAUAAUAUCUGUAUGAAAAAAAAAAUUCUCUUGAAACUAAAGCUGUUUCUUUGCAUCAAACUUAUGCAUGCCUUUACCUUGUUUUGUCUUGCAGAUCCCAAGAAGCAGCUUGAGCUAGCAGUGUUGGCUGUGUUCAACUCGUGGGACAGCCCCAGGGCCAACAAGUACAGGAGCAUUAACCAGAUCACUGGUCUGAAAGGCACUGCUGUGAACGUGCAGUCCAUGGUGUUUGGCAACAUGGGGGACACUUCUGGCACUGGCGUGCUCUUCACUAGGAAUCCUAGCACUGGAGAGAAGAAGCUGUAUGGCGAGUUCCUGGUGAAUGCUCAGGUAUGGACCAGUUUCUGUUGUGCCUAUUUGAUUCACAAUCUUAGCUGCCCUGUUUGAUCAAGUUAUUUUACACAAGUUAUAUUAAACAUGCAGUAGUAUCAACGAAUCUGUAUAAUGUAUGUGUGUUUCUGGUUCAGGGUGAGGAUGUGGUUGCUGGAAUCAGAACCCCGGAGGAUCUUGAUGCCAUGAAGGCACAGAUGCCGGAUGCUUAUGUAGAGCUCGUUGAGAACUGCAAGAUACUGGAGAGCCACUACAAAGAAAUGAUGGUACCUUAUUAUUGCAUUUUCAACCUUUACUGCACCAUUUAUUUUUGAGCUAUAUUUAAACAUGAUCUCUUUAAUAAUUUGCAACAUAAGCGCACUUGAAUACUGGUGUUGCUUCAAUGUGUUCUGUAGAUUGGCAUUGUGUCUCUGUUACUGCCAUUGGCCAUGAUCUCAGACUUGCUUGCUUUUUAUGCAUGAUGCAGGACAUUGAAUUUACCGUUCAGGAAAAUAGGCUCUGGAUGUUACAGUGCAGAUCAGGAAAACGUACAGGCCAAGGGGCGGUAAAGAUUGCUGUGGACAUGGUUAAUGAGGGUCUUGUUGAGCGCCGUCAAGCGAUUAAGAUGGUAGAGCCAGGCCACCUGGACCAGCUUCUCCAUCCUCAGGUAAUGGAUAACCAUGAGGCCCGUAAACUGAUUGUGCCUUACUUGAAAUUCAGUACUCUUAUAAGUUUGGCCUUACUUGGAAUUCACUUUAUAAGUUAAGUACUGGAUAUGUAUUAACAUCACUGUUUUAAUCUUGUCCAAUGAAAACCAGUUUGAGAACCCAUCAGCAUACAAGGAUCAAGUAAUCGCUACAGGCUUACCAGCUUCACCUGGGGCUGCUGUGGGCCAAAUUGUAUUUACUGCAGAGGACGCUGAAGCAUGGCAUGCCCAAGGGAAAGCUGCUAUCCUGGUAAACACCAUUUUAUCCUCAUUUUUAAGAAAAAAAGGUCUUCUGCAGUUUUUGUGUCAUUUUGAUCUGGACUUUGUGCUUCGAUGAAAAGAUCUGUUAAUUGAGCAAAACUGGUCUAUUUACUGGACCUGUUAGAAUAGUUGCUUGCAGAGUUACAGUCACAAAAAUCCCACUUAUCACAGACAGCCAUUUUUGAAAUGCAUAUGGAAGCUCCAAGUCGUAUCGCUUCAUCUUUUGCAUUCUGAGAAUUUUUUCUUUGCAAAUAUAUAGGUGAGGACAGAGACCAGCCCAGAGGAUGUUGGUGGCAUGCACGCAGCUGUUGGAAUUCUUACAGCAAGAGGUGGGAUGACCUCUCAUGCUGCUGUGGUAGCACGUGGUUGGGGAAAAUGUUGUGUCUCAGGAUGCUCAAGCGUUCUCGUAAAUGAUGCUGAGAAGGUGAAUAGAAUUCUUGUUUGCACAUCUUCUUCUUUGUAGAAGGUGACAUGCCAUGUUAAAGUUUGUAACAGGAUUAUGACAUUCUUUGUAGAUGUGCUCCGUCCGCCAUUUUUAAGUUCUUAUUAACGAGAUUUUGAGGAUGUAGAUGUUUCCUUACUUUGCUAUGUCUACAUUUACAGUCUGUAGUGAUUGGAGACAAGGUGAUGCAUGAAGGUGAGUGGCUAUCACUGAAUGGAUCUACUGGUGAAGUCAUCGUGGGGAAGCAGCCACUUUCCCCACCAGUCCUCAGUGGUGAUCUGGGAACCUUCAUGUCCUGGGUAGAUGAAGUUAGGCAACUGAAGGUAAAUUCCUAGAAAUAACAAAUAUGUAAUAUUAGUUAAAACAUGGAUACAAACUGUUGGAAGUAGAAACCAACAAAAAGGGCAUCAGAUUAUUUAUUCAGACAGGCCAAAGCUAGUCAACCCCACUACACAUUUUUCAACAGAAAUGCUUAUUCGUACAUAUGAUCCACCUUCCAGGUUUUGGCUAAUGCGGAUACCCCUGAGGAUGCACUGACAGCAAGAAACAAUGGGGCAGAAGGAAUUGGACUAUGCCGGACGGAGCACAUGGUAUGUAUUUUAGUUACUGUCCAAUAUCUUUUGGGUGGGAUCUUGGAAAACUUACUCUUUCUUGAAUUCCUUCGUCGAACAGUUGGGUAAACUUUAAGGACCUCCCGUUCUAGUCUCAUGUUCUCCUUUUCUGCACUUUGGCAGUUCUUUGCUUCGGAUGAGAGGAUUAAGGCUGUGAGGCAGAUGAUUAUGGCUCCCACACUUGAACUGAGGCAGAAGGCACUAGAUCGUCUUUUGCCUUAUCAGAGGUCUGACUUUGAAGGCAUUUUCCGUGCUAUGGAUGGUAUGUGAAAAUCACGAUGCAUUCAUUUACAUGCUCUCCAAUUGAACUGGAUGCACUAGUGUUACUGAACAUAACAAGAGUAAGCAACCUUCUUAAAUAGACAACAUUGACUACUAAUGUAAAGUGAAAAGGUAGACAAGUUUUAAACCUUAGGAUGCAAAAUACUUCAAAAAUAAGAACGAAAUUGGGCCAGUAACAUAUUGCAUCAAUUAUUUAACUUGGUAACAUAAAGUUCUGCUAUGAUUUAUCCAUUAGUUUUUUUUAAUCUUUUAUAGCGAGUGGUAUAUGUACAUGUUUCAUGGAAACAGAUAUAGAAUUAAACUACUAGAAUAAAUUUUAACAUGUAUUGUAGUUAGUUCCACAGUAUGUAUUUUAAAGUGCGGAAUGGAUUUGAACAUUAUUUUUUUUGCAUUUCAGGGCUUUCAGUGACUAUUCGGCUUCUGGACCCCCCACUUCAUGAGUUUCUUCCUGACGGGAAUGUUGAAGACAUUGUGCGUGAAUUAUGUUCUGAAACUGGAGCCAAUCAGGAGGAAGCCCUUGCAAGAAUUGAAAGUCUUUCAGAAGUAAAUCCAAUGCUUGGUUUCCGUGGGUGCAGGUUGGUUUUUGUGCUCCGUUUAAAUCAGUCACCCCCCCUCCUUGAUCCAUUUGGUUCCCUUGUUAGUGAAAUAUUAAAAAGAAUAAACUCUGUAUAUUUACCUCGACUAAUAUUGGAACUGCUAAAAUUCCAGGCUCGGUAUAUCAUAUCCUGAGCUAACAGAAAUGCAAGCCCGUGCCAUCUUUGAAGCUGCUAUAGCGAUGACCAACCAGGGUGUUCAAGUUUUCCCAGAGAUAAUGGUUCCUCUUGUUGGGACACCUCAGGCAUGCAUCUUUAUUUCCUUAUUUGUGCAUAUGGUAUCUCUGCAGUUCAUGGUGUUCAAAAUGACAAAAUCAAAAUUGAAUAAACAACCAAGUUCUGUACACAUGUAAUUUACGAUUUUAUGCAAACAUCAAGUUGACCUACACCCAAUUUCCCACCAAAUUCAUUUCUUGAAAUUUUCUCUCUCGAAUUCUAAGUUUAUUGCUUUCACUUGAUUUUUCCUUCAGACAUCUGACAUUUGACUUUUGCAGGAACUGGGGAAUCAAGUGGCCCUUAUCCGUGAAACUGCUAACAAAGUUUUCGCUGCUCUGGGUAAAACCAUUGACUACAAAAUUGGAACUAUGAUUGAAAUUCCGAGGGCAGCUCUAGUAGCUGAUGAGGUAGGAAGCAUCUAACUCCCUUCAGAAUAAUCUUAAAUAUUGCUGUUUAGGUUUAGCUUUUAGAUCAUAUUUUUCAUGAAUGGUUUAGUAAUAGAACCCCGGAUUUUUACUCUAAAACAUGUGAAUAGUAACUGAUGGUAUGAAUUUAUUAAGUGCAAAUAAUAAGUUUAUCCUCUAAUUUAAAAAAAAAACUGACAUUCUUGUUUUGGUUUCACAACCUGACAGAUAGCAGAGCAGGCUGAAUUCUUCUCUUUUGGAACGAACGACCUCACACAGAUGACAUUUGGCUACAGCAGGGAUGAUGUGGGGAAGUUUCUUCCCAUUUAUCUGUCUCAGGGUAUCCUCCAACAUGAUCCCUUUGAGGUAAAAUUUUAGCAGCUCUCACCCUUCAGUUUUAGAUGAUAUACCUGCAUUUUCAUCAUCCACUCUUGUUUUUCAAGGAAUAUUUCCAUCAUCCACAGAUGCGAGCAUCUCAUGUCCUCUAGGCAUUUUUCAUGUCCUUGACUUUUGGUUACGUGCAUGCUCUGGUAAAAUUCAACCUAGUAACUUGCCCAUUGAAUGUUGAUAAACAUAUCAGGUGCUGGAUCAGAGGGGAGUGGGCGAGCUGGUUAAGUUUGCUACAGAGAGGGGUCGCAAAGCUAGGCCUAACUUGAAGGUUAGUUUUUGGGACUUGUGGACAUUGGCUCUUUUCCUUAGAAAUCAUGGUUUCAUUGUUUGGUGCUGUCUGCAAACAGGUGGGCAUCUGUGGAGAACACGGUGGGGAGCCUUCGUCAGUUGCAUUCUUUGCAAAGUCGGGGCUGGAUUAUGUUUCUUGCUCGCCUUUCAGGUUGGUCAAGUGAUAAACUCAAGAUACAACUCCCAGAUUCAUAACUGUAGCAAAACCUUAACUACUUUUUAUGAAAUAUCUUGUGCAGGGUUCCCAUCGCCAGGCUAGCUGCAGCUCAGGUGCUCGUCUGAGGGCACCGCCUCAUCGGCAACCGGAUCACCUGCUGUUGGUGCGUCUGGUGAAGAAUACUAAUACAAAGCCAUGGAACGGUGGAACUCUGCUGCCUGGCAAAGGCCGUUGUAUCUUGUAUGAAGUCUCCGUGCGCGUGCGCAUGUAAGACUUAAUGUGUGGUUUUCUGCAUUUUCCCUUGAACUACCAUGGUAAUGUAGUACCAAACAGAGAUGAUGACGAAGAACAAUCGAAUAAAUUAAUUGGCGAUUAC